CGCUCGUUUUAAGAGUCAGUUGAGAUAGGCGGAGUGUGUUGCAAGCUACGGACACAUCCGGGACGAACGGUGAUGGAGUUUAAAACGAACGCACCAUGCAGGAGUUUGCGACAUCCGGGUGUGCUGCACGUGUAAAUGAAUUAUGAACUGAUUCACGUCUCACUGAGCAGGAGAGGAGGAGCGACUAUGGCGUUUCAGCAGCGGUUUGUUUGUUUGGCUGCUGGCAUCCCUGAAAUAUCUGAGGAGGAAGAAAAUGGCGUCUGGAACUAGUAGCUGAUCGAUAAUAGAUAUCUUGGGUGAACGACAAUGAAGCUGAGGGCCGCUUCAAGCUCCAUCAAAGGCUGAGGAGGAUCUUUGGUUCAAAGUUGGGUCGCGGUGCCGCCUCCUCGUUCCCCGGACCCGGCCGCGUCGGCGCCGCUCGAAGGACGCGGUGGACGGGGAGCCCGGGUGGCGCUCUGCACGUUUGGGGCAGGAGCCAUUCACGGGGGAGCUGGUUCGAGUCAGAGGCAGAUUACAGGACGACCAGCCGCCCAGAACCGACUGAGUGGACCGGGCCGUGGACCGGAGAACUCGGCAGAGGAGUGGAUGUGCUUUCCACUGACUGUGGAUUUAAUUCUGAGGGGAAAAGCGAAAACAAAAAAAAAAAGAAAAGAGUUAGAUAAUUUAUAUUAGUUAUUAAAAUGCAUUAAAUAUUAGCAUGAAUGUCACUAAUAAAAGAUGCAAUGAUGAAAAGAUUAUUGAUCAGACAAUCCAACAUUAAAAACCUUUACCUUUAAUAAAUGUAUUUUUGAUGCAAAAUGUAGAGUGGAACCAGUACUUGGCAGAAGGAGACCAGUGUCGGGAUGGUCUCAGCAACGAUGCGGUAAGUCCAUCUGCGUUUCCUGACGCAUGGCAGAGCGAGAAGCUGAGAGACGAUUGGUGUUUCAUUUGGUUCUGGGGCCAGCUUCAUCCUCUGGACUGACUGAAGCUCAACAGGCAGGCCUGGAAACACAGGCAGAAAAAAAUCUGUAUAGAAUCAUUACUGGCAGACGGAGGGUGGAUGUUACCGCUGGUGAGCUCUGAGGGAAGGUGGCGCUGUUGGAGCUGCUGCCAUCCUUCACCGCCGUUAAAGGCCAGCUCCAGAAUAGAAACACCCAAACUAAGUACAUAAAAAGGAGCUUUUAUUAAAACUUUAAUAAUAAUCGUGUGUUUAAA